UUGAAAGCGAAUAAUACAAAAAAGCCAAAAGCGUAGUUCUGCUUGCUUGUUUCUCAUCUUCCCACUUCCCUCAAACACCCGGUAGAACAUAACUGCACCACUCGCCUGAAUUUUGCCCCAAAAUUCAAUCGUCGGAAACCGUCGCUUUACCUUGCCGGCCAAUUCGUCUGUCAGCGGAGUCGUGUUUGUCGUCCAAUUACAUCUUUGUCGGUAUCUUAAUUUCGUUCGCUAGUGUUCCAUUACCACCACCACUCCCCAGCAACGCCACCACGCCACAGCGACGCCAAUUCAUCCGCCAGUAUCCUGAUAUCCAGCAAUGCUUCUACUGGAAUCACAUUGAUCGGACACUCAGUUAUGUACUCAGGUCCAUCAAACCACGGGCUUCUUGGUUGUUUUACUCCAUGCCUGCAAAAGGAACUGCUAUCAUGUCCUUUUACUUCUCUUGUCCUGCUAUUAUUGUAAUUAUAGAUAAACUAAUAGAAAUCGAUUAAUAUGAAAACUAUCUAAUAUUGUGUGGACCCUUGUGAUUUUGUUCUUGAUUCUUUUGGUCCUUUUCUAAAGUGGUGUGAGCAAGUCCAAAUUUUACUGUUUGAGUGGGUUUUUUACGUGCCUAUUUUGUUCUUUCACCGCGCCAUAGUAAUCGAGCUAUGACAGAUUAAUCUUCGCUUCGUUGCUCUAGUUGGCUGCCUUUAGCUAGAAAUCUCUUGACAAUUGAUGUGUUAUACUUGUUGAUGUCGAGUUGAAAUGAUGAAAUAUGCUUGUAAUCUGAUUGAGACCUAUAUUAGGGAUUGUCUGAAUAUGGUAUGUGUGAUUAUUCCUUUGGCUAUUCACCAUAAGAAAAUACAUAAUGGCAUUAAGAGCCUAUAAAUAACUAAAGUGAACACUUGGUAUCUAUUAAAAUGUAAUUGUGAUUCUCAAAUCUUAUGUGUUAGAUUGGGUAUAUAUUGUGUCCUUUGCAUGUUUCUAGCAGCCAUUUUUGCAAGCAGUAAUCUUGGCUAACUUAAUCUAACCUGUAAACAUACACCAAAUUAGUUUGAAAGAAUUUGGAGGUAGGGCCAACAACAUUGCAAUGGGAUGACAUUAUGCACAUUUUAUUUCCUAUUUCCUUCUGUCUUUUGGGUCAUGAAUAUCUAAACAUAACAGAUUAUACAUCAACUGAUAUGUUAGUUGGAAGCCAAUACUUCUACCCAUACAUUUGAGGAUGUUUUUGGAGGUGAUUGUUGAAAGGACUCAGAAAAAUAUAGUAGGCAUAUCUAUUUAGGGCUUACACAUGAUGGCGCAUAAUGCGCCUUAUCCUGAUUUUGUUGAUUGAAUAUUGCAGAAGUAUCCAGCAAGGGUCCAAUCCAAUGCACCUCGGUAUGAACAUUUUCUAGCAAACUUUUGUUCAGAACUCAUUUUGUAAUUUUAGCAUCAUACUGGAUAUUAACCUUCAUAGGAAGAUGAGGACAAGAAGCUCCUACUGGGAAAAUAGCAAACUGCACAAUCUCAGCUUGAUGAGAUUAUCAAAGCAAAAAUCAGACUAAUUCAGAGAACACUGAGUUGAAGCAAUCUGUUGAGUAAUUAAAGAAUGAUAUAAAUAGUCUCAAGUCAAAGCUUAGUGCCACAGAAUUGAGUACACUGGAAGAGGAACACAAGGCUCUCUUGUCAGAGAAGGAUGGAGAAUUGGAGUACAUGCGGAGUUUGGAUACCAAACUCGAGAAACUGAAGGUGUGCGUGCGGAGGAGACUACAAGGUGGAUACAUGCGGUUGUGAUGUGGGAGAAUAGUGUAUUAUUGAUAUCAACUCUGAAUGAAUUGUUAUUUUGGCGAAAUUACAACUGAAUUUUCUCAAAAAUAAGCUUGAUGAGCUCAGAGACUUGUGGAUCAAAUAUGUGGAUGAAUAUAAACAAGUGGAUGAAGAACAAUCGGAAGAUAAUGACCAUUUUAAUUAGGAUGUGUGUAUUUUCCUUUUGAGCGGGAUUAGGGAGGUGCUUCUAUUUUUGUACACAUGAAUUGGAAGAAACGGGCCUAGGUGCUCUAUUUUUUUUUUUUAUAACUUAGUUGAAUUUUUGGAAUCUUUUAAACAUUAAAUUGAUAUGCAUGUGAUUUUGUAGUGAAUGAUAUUGAAUGAAUGAAAAGGUAUUCCAAUU